rnacentral:misc_RNA from 1 species
CACCCUGUGGCACCUUAUAACACGACACAGUUUCUUAUGGAGGAUCAUGGAAAGGCGGAUCCAAAUAUUGGCGAAGGACAGCUCAACCGAAACAAUUCACGGGAAUCGACGGACGGGAGCGGAUCCACGAGUGACAGUUCGGAAGAAAUGUAUUCCGAAGAGGAGGAAUUCCUGGAAAAAGAAUUUGCCGAGACGUAUGAUAAUAUGCAUGCCGAGAGACUGCAGAAAAUGAGCAAGGACGAACUGAUUAAAGAUUACAUAGAAAUGGAAACCAAGCUGGACAGACUUCAGAAGCGGUUGGAACGGCGCGCUCGGCGGAAUAAUGAUACAGCUGACGAUAGCUCCGGUUCACUGAGUAGCGGCGGCGAGGAGUUCGUGGAUAUGGAUGUUGUUAGAAAACUUGAGGCGGAACAAGAUAAACUGAAAUUAGAAAAUGAACAAUUAAAAAGGGAACUGGUUAAGAUGAAAUCCAGCUGAUAAUUAAAUUUUAACAAUUUUUCCAGGCAUGAUGUUGGUACCUCACUUUGUACAUUUUUUUGUACAUUCAAAAUUAUUGAAAUGGAAAAAUGCAUUUUGAAGGAUAUGGAAUUUUUGUAAAGGGUUAAUUGUGUUGGAUUAUUUAACCUGUCAAUAUGGUAAACAGAUUUGAAAAGGGAAAGAGUGGUUUUGUUAGCAGCAAAUAUGUGCCAUUUGUGUUCUUAAAAUUAUGGCAUUAGUAUUUUAUAUAUUUUUUAUUGUUUUUUUGUUUAAAAUAUAGAGUAAAAAAAAAAUAAAAAUAUCAAGUUGAUCUCAUUGGUGUUUUAAUGAUUUUUGAUAUUUUUGUUAUACUAUACAUUUUAUUUGUUCAUUUAUUUUGAAGCACGAUAUUUGUGAAAAAACAUAGAUGCCACAUUGUCUUUCCUUUUUCAAUGACUUAAAUGUGUUUGACACUUGUCAUUAAUCAUGCUUUUUUUUUUAUAUUGAUGAUUCUCCAUUUGCGAAGGUGGGUUGUUAUAUGCAAGAAAUUAACAGAAAUUGAUUUGGGUUUAACUUUUAAAGCAAGCAUUUAAGACAUUGUAAAAUUUUGAUGUUUUCAACUUUCUUAUGCAAGGAAAACUUACUCAUGUAUAGUGCAUAUUGUCAUAUUAAACAGAUUUCUUGGUGCUGUUGCAACUAUUUUGUGCAGUGGACUGAAAUCCAAUCAAUGUCUGAAAACCAAACUACUAGUGCCGAGAUAGUUCUCUGUAGAAUUCCCAUUAUGUUCAGUGCUUCAAACCAUCUGGUUCUUGCAGCAUGCAUGUUGAAGGGACCGUUUUCCUUUGUUCGAAAACCAUUUUUCAUCCAAGUUUAUUUGAAAGGAAAUUGCACUUGACUGUUUACUUCUACAGGGCAUUUAAAUAAUGUAUUUCAAGAUGAUGUUUAUGUUUCAUUAAAAAAGGAUACAACAUC